UUUUUUUUUUGAGAUGGGGUCUUGCUCUGUUGUCCAGGAGGGAGUGCAGUGGCACAAUCACUGCUCAUUGCAGCCUUGACUACCCAGGCUCAAGCAAUCCCCCCACCUCAGCAACUGUAGCUGGGACCACAGUUGCGCAUCACCAUGCCUGGCUAAUGUUUUAAUUAUUUGUAAAGAUGAGGUCUUGCUAUGUUGCCCGGGCUGGUCUCAAAUUUCCGAGCUCAAGCAAUCCUCCUGCCUCAGCCUCCCAAAGUGCUGGGGUUAUAGGCAUGAGCUGCUGUACCCAGCCCUGCCUUGUCUCUCUCGUAUUUAUUAUCUGACGUAGUAUAGAUGUACUUAUUUAGUUGUUUCCUUUCUGUUUCAACCUCACAUGUUAGAACUUCAUUUUGUUCACUGCUGCAUCCCCAAUAUCUAAAAUAAUCCCUGGCACAUGGUACGUGCUCAAUAAAUAUUUGUUAAAUGGAUCCAUUAAUAAAUCACAAUUAAUUUAAACAUUCUGACAGAUAGGUUCUCCUCCUACUGUAGAAAUUCCCUCUUCUUCUGGGAUUCAAGUUCAUUAUAUAAGAUGGAUAAACAAAGACAACAUGUUCAUAAGGUAGCUAUUUCCUAUGCCCUUUAAAUAGUAAUGUGAAAUAACUCAGAAUGACCUAAAAUGUCAUUUCAUUAAGUGGCAAAACAACUUAGCUACCCAUAAGCAAGGGAUAUAUUAUAUGACAGAAAGAAAGAACAUAACAAGAUUAUGAUGACCCUAAAGAUAAGGAUUAUGUCUCUUUUAGACACACAUUUUUCAUUGUCAAGGUUUUUUUUUUACAGUAAUGUUAUUAUGACACUUACGAUAUUCAAAACUCUUAUAUAAUAAAAUGUUCUAAGAAUUUCUAUUAAACACUUCAAAGACUGUACCAUUGGAAAGAUCCUUCAGUUUUUCUCAAAAUUGUAUAUUCUGACAAAAGCUAGUGCAUGUCCCUUAUAGACUACUAAUAUUUUACAACCUCCUUGAUCCCAAAUGUUGUCAUACUAAUAUGAAAAGCCACAAUAAAAACCCAAUAGGAAGAAAGGUCUAACUUACCAACAAUGCAGGAAUAUCUAAACAUGCUUUUGACAACAAAAACCUCACUUAGAUCUCUUAAUUAGAGGGAAAUUUAUUAAAGAGCACAAAUUUGUCUCCAGCAACCUAAGGGAAAAAGACUUGGGAGGGACUGGAAAAUCUAAAACAGGAAAAUCUAUGACAAGGUCAUUCUUUUGGUACCUUAUUUUUUCUUGUCUCUCAAUAGAUUGAUGUUCUGUAUUUCUUUGCAAGUGUUUAGCCAAAUAUGACACCACUUUCUGCUUAUGUUCCUAACAAAGAGACUAUGUUGUAUCUGGUUCUUAAAGCCAUUUUUUUUUAAACAGAGAGAAUCAGAUUAGGCCAGCUAGGAUCAUCUUAUUUUUGUGUUUGAAAUCACAGAGGGAGGUGGGUCAUAUAAAAUAAAUGUGGCUGCAACAUUACACUUCAGCCAAAGACAGGGAGAAUUUUCCAGAAAAAGAUCAGGUGGGCUAGAUAGACGCUACAAAAGGGAGCUAUGAUUUUAAAAUCUUGAGAUAAUCUAAUAAUCACUAAAGAUGCUCGUAUGGCCGGGCAAGGUGGCUCACACCUGUAAUGCCACACUUUGGGAGGCAGAGGCGAGUGUAUCACCUGAGGUCAGUUUGAGUUUGGCCAACAUGGUGAAACCCUAUCUCUACUAAAACAAGGAGCCUGUAAUCCCAGCUACUCGGGAGGCUGAGGCAGGAGAAUCGCUUGAACCGGGGAGGCGAGGUUGCAGUGAGCCCAGAUCGCGCCAUUGCACUCCAGCCUGGGCGACAAGAGUGAAACUCUGACUCAAUAAUAGUAAUAAUAAUGCUCAUAUAUGUUAUGGAGUGAAGGUUAUAAAAAGAGCAGAAAAGUCUUUAAGUUUGGGGAAAAAUGUAGUCUUUCCCACUUCAAGCUAUUGUGAAAUAAAACGAUGCAAUUUUUGCAGACGCUUCUCCAUUUAAAAAUUCAAGACAGGUAAGCAUAAGACAGAAUCAAUAGAAUAUGUACUAAUAAUCACUAUAUCAUCGUUCCUGUCUUCUAAGCAUCAAAAGUUUAGAAAAGCUUUCUUUAAUGAAACGGAAUGGAGCUGGAGUCUUCAAGUCAACAGCCUGUGAUUUUGAAAAGUUGAUAAAUUGAACAAAUAUUACUUUUCAUUAAUGAGUAAACCUGAAAGUUGUAUUCAUCAAAAUGGACAUGAUAAAAGGAGACCAAGUAUGAACAAAUAAUCAAAGAAAAUGUCUAAUCUUAAGUAGGAAAAUGAAAUCAGCAAAAAUCUUAGAAAAUCCAUAUAGCACAAAAAACAUAACAGAGACUUAAUAUAUUGAUAAAGGACUAACCUUUAUCCUAAAUGCUCUGAAAAAUCUACAGAUUCUUAAUUGAAUCCAAAACCAUUUACAAAGUUGGACUUUUCCUCCCAUCAUUCACAGCGCCCGGAUGCUUAGGGAUAACAGACUUCAGGAAUUUGAAUUCAUUUGUCCCGGAGCCUCGCGUCAGAAACACUUCAUACUUGUACCUCUGGGAUAGGGUCCUGGUGUCGCUCACGUCCACCAGAUGCCUGGAAAGGGGUCCUCGGGCACCGAGCAGCGACCCAAUGAGGCCUCCCUGCUCCUCCUGCACAGCCGCACCGCCACGAACAGGAGCACCGAGAAGAGGAAGAACGACGACACCAAGGCCAACGCCACCACCAGGUAGACGGUGAGCAAGUCGGCCUGGGCCUGGGCCGGGGCCGCUUCAGGGAACGGCAAGUAGGGCAGGGAGAAGCCAUCCACCAGGAGCACGUGCAGCGUGGCGGUGGCCGAGCGCGGAGGCUCGCCAUUGUCCUUGACCAGGACCAUCAGCCUGUGCUUGGCUGUGUCACGCUCGCUCAGCAGCCUGUCAGUGCAUUGUGCGCCCACACGCCGAACAGCCCUGGCUCCGUGGCCUUGAGCAACUGCUACGACAGCCAGGCGUUCUGGCCCGAGUCACCGUCCACCGCCACCACCUUGGUCACCAGGUAGCCCGGCUCGGCGGCCCGCCCGGGGCAUCAGCUCGGUGCAGGGCGCGGAGCCGUUCUGCAGCGGGAACAGCACGAAGAGUGAGCUGUCGUUGGCGUCCAGCACCAGCACGCGCACCAGCGCCUCGCUGCUCAGCGCCGUGGAGCCGCGGUCUGAAGCGCCCACGCGGAACUCGAACUCCUGCAGGGCCUCGUAGUCCAGCGACCUGAGGGCGAACAGGUGGCCGUUGUCUGUGUUGAUGGAGACCAGGGAGGCGAGGGGCAGGUGCGGGUUCCGGGGCGGCAGCAGCGAGUAGGUGACCUGGAUGUUGGUGCCCGAGUCUCUGCGGUGCUGACGCUGCCAAUAUGCAGGGCGGGGCUGUUGUUCUCGCGGACGAACAGGGUGUAGGAGGUUUAGGUGAAGGUGGGGGCUUUGUCAUUGACGUAGGAGACCAGCACCGUUAUGUUGUACUCGGUUUUCAGCCUAGGAGUCCCCAAGUCCGUGGCUGUGUUGGUGAUGUUGUACUCGGCUCUAAUCUCUUUGUCCAGUGGUCCUUCUGUUAACAGCCAGUAUAAAUUCUCAACGGAAGGUUUCGGCAUGAACGGAACAUCAUUUUGAAUUGAUCAAACUAUUCUUCCAUUUUUCCCAGAAUCGCGGUCUUGAAUGCUGAAAAGAGCUGCAACGGUCUCAGGAGAAUUUUCGCGGAUGGGGCUUGUGAAUGAAGCCAUGGUCAGUUCCGGAGCGUUAUCGUUGAUAUCUACCACCUGUAUUAUGACAGUGCAUUUUCCAGAAAGACCUGCCCCAUCAGAGGCUUUAAUAUCCACCUGAUAUGACACAAUUUUUUCAAAAUCUAGUUUUCUGAUUAUUUUAAUUUCUCCCCUUCGUUCAUUAAGUGCAAAUGUCUUAGAAAUCUCUUCAUCACCAUAAAAAAUGAGUAGAAUAUCUCACCAUUAAUUCCCAUGUCUGAAUCUCUAGCGGAAACAGUGGCAACAAGGGAAUCCAGGGGGCUGUUUUCUGAUAUCUGCACCUGAUAGAGUGGCUACACAAACUCAGGUGCAUUGUCAUUGAUGUCCAAGAUUUCAAUGAGGACCAGAGCAGUCCCAGUUCUGGGAGGAGUCCCGCCAUCUACUGCCAUGAGAGUUAACCUGAUCUCAGCCUGCUCCUCCCGAUCCAGGGCUUUGUCCAGAACCAGCUCUGGGUAUUUUCUGCCUUCACUGCCAUUUUGGGUGAGAGCGUGGACAUGGGAGUAGGGGUAGAUGGUGUAGUUUUGGAUGUUAUUGAUGGCCACAUCCAAAUCUUGUGUAUUUUUCAGAGGAAACACAGUUCCUGGAGGAGUAUUUUCCAUGAUUUCAAAAUAAUUUCUGCUUCUGGGAAUACAGGGGAAUUGUGUUUAUGUCACUGACCAAAAGUUUAAACCUCCAAAGGUUCUUCCAGUAACACUUGGAAUUGCAGCACACAAGGCUCAGUGAUUCUACACAAUUCUUCCCGGUCCAAUGUCUCAUUUACUUGCAGGUCUCCGGUCUGAAGUUUCAGCUGAAAAUAUUUUUUGUUAUUGUUAAAAAUGACCCGAGG
rnacentral:lncRNA from 1 species